UGUAGAGCAGGUAGAUAACUGAUAAAGAAGCAAAGUAGACUGUUUAUAAAAAUGGAUAAAGUGUUUCGGUUGCAAAAUGUACUCCAGAGAUUACAGACACGUCCUGUUGCAGGGUUUCUCCAUCCUGAUCCUGCAUGUUUUAGAUGUUUCCCUCCUCCAACACACCUGAUUUAAAUAAAUGGAUCGUUAUCAGGCUUCUGCAGAGCUUGCUGAUGAGCUGACUAUUUGAAUCAGGUGUGUUGGAGCAGGGACAAGUCUACAACAUACAGGGCAGUGUUUCCCCAGGACCAGGAUUGAGAAACCCUGUCCCACUGGACAUGACAAGCUGCUGAUCACACUGUUGUUGUCCACUCACAAAAUAGCACAUUUGUGUGUUAUUGCUGAAGACUUGAACCUAGUAAUUGAGGCCAUUAACUCCUGAAGAAACUGUUUACUUAUGUUAUAUUUUAUCAUUCCAGUCUUCUUUGUUUUAACCGUCUCCUUCUUCUGUGUGUGUGCAGGAGCGACUUCACACUGGCUGAUUACACAGAGUGCACCUGUGUUUGAUCACCACCAGCUACCUGCUGUAUAAAGACCUCAACCUACAGACUGCUACCCCUGCAGAGGAUUUGGAACGCAGCCAGGGCAGACUCACUCAGCACAGCCUAACACAGGAGCUAAAGAGAUGGUGGGUUUCUUUUCCUUUCUCUUCCCUUUGCUGCACUUCAUUUAUCACUG